GCGAGCAUGCUGGAACUGGCAGACAGGCACGUUUGAGGGGCGUGUGUCUAUGACGUGUGGGUUCAAGUCCCACUGCUCGCACCA
rnacentral:tRNA from 1 species